GAAGUCUUUAGCAGAGAGCUGAGACGGAGAAAAGGGUUCUGAACCACAGCUGUCUGCUGAAGGAAGCUGUCCAAAGGCCAGUGAAGUCUCUCCUGAGGGUGCCUGGGCUGUGCAUCAGGAGUGAAGGUUGAGGGUCACCUUAGGUGUGAGAAGGAGCAACUGGGAGAGUGGCGCUGAUGCUUCCCCCCGGGUUAGGAGGCAUUUGGAUCACAGAGCGAUGCCUGUUCAUUCCUGCUUGCAAGGGAGCAGAUCUCUCGACACCCGAUGGGCCUCUAUUCCGUUCCGGCAGCUGUCGGUGUCAGGAGCGCUGGGCUUGCUCCUCCCCACGGGAGCCAUCACAGAGGCCUCGGGCAGUCUGCAUAGACAACUGCCUGGCAGGUGACCAGGAGGGGAUGCAUGAGUAGAUGCAGGUAGCACUCGCAGUCCCCCUAGCUGUGCCCUCAGCACCUGCUGUCUAGGAGGCAGAAGCCUUGUUCUCGGCCUUGCAGGUGACCCCAGUGUCUCUGAAUUCGGCCCCAUAUGUGUAGGAGGGGAGUGAUUGCAUCUGAAGAUGGGAGUCCGGUUGGGGGUUUGGGAAGCUCCCAUCACCCCUCAAGAGUCCACUGACCAGCCCAGCUCACACCAGGUGGGCCUUGGCAUUGGAGGCCACGGCUCAACUCUGCAGUUCCCUCUGGGCAGCAUUUCCAGGGACUCGUAGGUCAGCACGGUCAUCAAGGACGGGUGGUGAGAGCAGCUCCUCAUUGUCCUGGUGACCCCGAUGGUUCAUUUUCUGGUGUCUCUGUGGUGAGCUCCUGUUACAUCAAGCGAGUGGAAACCACCGAGGACCAACAGCCCUGGAAAUGCACUGAGAAUGCAGGAUGAGUGGGGUUUGUGAGGACUGUUUUCUGUGACUUAGCAAGGAAAGCCUGGAAGGGAAAGUAAAACUGCUUCUUCCCAGGGAAGCCAGAAACCUAAGAACUUAAAAGGGAAGGAGAACUUAAUAUAUUUCAAAAAUGUAACCCUUGUGAAUUAGCAACAGCUUUAUAAACAAAGAGAUUUCCGAGCUUAUAGAAUCUAUUCUGCUUUGUUUCUGCCCCCAUGGCUCCUACCCCUGUUUUUGUGGGUGCAAUUUUCAGAUAGAACAUUUUUACACAAGCUUCAAAACUCUCUGAGGACAGCUUUCCCCUUUGCGUCUGUCGGGUCCCAGGCAGUCACAUCCCAGGAAGUGCUGGGGUUGGGCUCCUUGCUCCACAUCCUUCUUCAGUGGCACGAAGCGUGGGGUGGAGUGUGUGAGUCAUGUGUGAUCUUGGUGUGGGCUAUGGCUGGUCUGCAGCACCCCUUCAAUGACUGCUUCAAGGGCUUUUCAUGAUGCUUGUAGCUCAUGAGCUAGUGUUUCCUAGACGCUGUUUCCAGGUGUCUUGCAUGUCACACACUGGCCUACCAGGGCUGGAGUGAGAUCAUGAGCGCCAGAUUGUUGGUGAAGGAAGUUGACAGAGACAUCGAAUGUCGGUGAACAGGAGUGACCUUGGGUCUCAAUAAAUACUGUGGUCUACUGAAUCCAGAACCCACCCUUACCAGCAGGGCCCACUUCUUCCCCAGCAGGCCGAGCUCUUCCCCUCCUGUCUUCCCUGGCCCUUGCUUUGUAGCUCUGUGUGGCUGUGUCAUGUCUGGUUGUAUCUGUGUAUACUUCUGCCUCUCCCGCUAUCUAGAUGGCUCGGGGAGGCACACCACACACCAGGUCACCUUCCUCUCUGAACCCCCAGCACCUCAUACUGUUUCUGUGCAGAGAUAAGGCUGGGUGAAAGCUUGUGUGAAUGAUCUGAAGUCUUCUACUCUAGGCCAGUCUCCAGGAGCAUUAUGAUCUUUAGGAGGGUGGGCUUGGUUCCUCUGUACAAUAAUGGGUCAUAAAACUGAGUGGUCAAGAUCAUCCCGGUGAGGGCAGUCCGUGUGUUGCCAUAGUUGCUGUACCGGUUAAGAAUGCACCUGGCUGCAAUUUCCUGAAAACCUGACGUAUAGUGGCUUAAACAAAGAGUGGUUUAUUUUCCUUCUGUCAUAGCAAUCUGGGGGAGGCCACUGUGGCUUUGGCGCAGGAGGUCGGGAAAGGCCCGCUUCUCUGAUAUCACUGGGGGCCUCCCCAGUGCUUGUGUGGCAGAAUGACAAGAGGAAGAAGAAGGAGAAUUAUGGCACUGAGUAUCAUGAGAUUUGGGGUCAUAUAUCUUUAGUGGGCGGUGUUUGCUGCCCCAAAUGUCUCAUGCCAUUAAAAUGUUCUGGAAAUGAUUUAGGUAGUUGGAGUUUCCUUCCCAAAGACAAGGCAUUUACAGCAUGAUGUCCAAUAUCCAUUGAGUUUGUGUCAUGCAUUCAUUGUAUUCAUAGUCUGCUUUAGGUACUUAGCAAAAUAUUGCUGAUAUUAACAUGCCUUUGUUUGCUUCACUGGAGAUGAAAUUGUGCUCCAAGUGUUUUCCAAGGUUCCGUAUGACCCAUCAUUUGAUGAAACAAGAACAGCAGUCAGAUCCAUUACAAAGAGAGACACACAAAAAAACUAUGUGAAAAUGAGCUUAGCCCCUGGUGUUGUGUUGGAACUUCAGAUGCUUGCAGACACUUCAUGAAUGCUCUGUGACACUCAGAAUAGGCUCUUCCCAACAAAAGAGCUUGAACAAUGCUGCAUUUGCCUCAGGUUCAAAUGAGCGAGAGGAACAUUUGGCUAAAAUAUUUGGAACCAGCGUUGCUUGGAAUUCUCCUAAACCAGAAUAUUUCCUUGGCAGUGUGGACAAAAUUCCUGAUAAAGAUCACCUUUCAGAGGAGAAGAAUUUUAAAGAAUCCUGUCUGUUCCACAGGGAUUUAAGAGAGCAGUUAACUACUGUAGAUAAAGAAACACUUCAAGGAGCAGCUAAACCAGGUGGGAAUCUG
rnacentral:lncRNA from 1 species